rnacentral:rRNA from 1 species
CCCUUAGAUGUUCUGGGCCGCACGCGAGCUACAUGAGGUUAUGCAAAGCGUACUCUGCGUUUAACGUGCGUGGGGAACCGCUAAAGAAAUCUGUGGUUGGGCUUGAUGAUUGAUAUUUAUCACCACAAACAAGGAAUCCCUAGUAUUCAUGAGUCAACAACUUGUGGAGAAUACGUCCCUGCCCUUUGUACACACCGCCCGUCGCUUCUACCGAUUGAGCGCUCCGGUGAGCAUUUUGGAGCGGACGAGCCUAGCUCAAUGUCUGUGAAGUUAUGCAAACCUUACCGUUUAGAGGAAGGAGAAGUCGUAACA